UACGUAGGGGGCAAGCGUUGUCCGGAAUCAUUGGGCGUAAAGCGCGUGUAGGCGGCUCGGUAAGUCCGCUCUGAAAGUCCAGGGCUCAACCCUGGGAUGCGGGUGGAUACUGCCGGGCUCGAGUCCGGAAGAGGCGAGUGGAAUUCCCGGUGUAGCGGUGAAAAUGCGCAGAUAUCGGGAGGAACACCAAUGGCGAAGGCAGCUCGCUGGGACGUGACUGACGCUGAGACGCGAAAAGCGUGGGGAGCAAACAGGG
rnacentral:rRNA from 1 species